rnacentral:sRNA from 1 species
UGAACUUAGUUGACAGUGAAGAGCCUCUAGUUCAACGCAGAAAUCGUAGGUCUGCAAGGAGUGUUGACAUUGAUAAU